AGAACGAACGCUGGCGGCAUGCCUAACACAUGCAAGUCGAACGAGACCUUCGGGUCUAGUGGCGCACGGGUGCGUAACGCGUGGGAAUCUGCCCUUGGGUUCGGAAUAACAGCGAGAAAUUGCUGCUAAUACCGGAUGAUGACGUAAGUCCAAAGAUUUAUCGCCCAAGGAUGAGCCCGCGUAGGAUUAGCUUGUUGGUGAGGUAAGAGCUCACCAAGGCGACGAUCCUUAGCUGGUCUGAGAGGAUGAUCAGCCACACUGGGACUGAGACACGGCCCAGACUCCUACGGGAGGCAGCAGUGGGGAAUA
rnacentral:rRNA from 1 species